UUUAAGGGGCAGGCAGGUAGCCGGUGAGAGUUUAAGGGGCAGGUAGGUAGCUGGUGAGAGUUUAAGGGGCAGGCAGGUAGCCGGUGAGAGUUUAAGGGGCAGGCAGGUAGCCGGUGAGAGUUUAAGGGGCAGGUAGGUAGCCGGUGAUAGUUUAAGGGGCAGGCAGGUAGCCGGUGAGUGUUUAAGGGGCAGGUAGGUAGUGGUAGAGAGUUGGAUUAGUAACCGAAAGGUUGCAAGAUCGAAUCCCGGAGCCGACAAGGUACAAAUCUGUUGUUCUGCCCCUGAACAAGGCAGUUAACCCACUGUUCCCCGG
ensembl:lncRNA